rnacentral:rRNA from 1 species
UCGAACGAGGUAGCAAUACCUAGUGGCGAACGGCGGAGUAAUACAUAAGCAACGUGCCUCAAAGAUCGGGAUAGCCCGGGGAAACCCGGAGUAAUACCGGAUGUGGCCGUCGAGGGGCAUCCCUUGACGAUUAAAUGGUUUUUCGCUUUGAGAGCGGCUUAUGGCCUAUCAGGUAGUUGGUGGGGUAAUGGCCUACCAAGCCGACGACGGGUAGCGGGUCUGAGAGGAUGACCCGCUCGAGUGGGACUGAGACACGGCCCACACACCUACGGGUGGCAGCAGUUGGGAAUCCUGCACAAUGGGGGAAACCCUGAUGCAGCGACGCCGCGUGGAGGAUGAAGGAUCUAGGUCUGUAAACUCCUUUUAUCAGGAAAGACUUAGGACGGUACCUGAUGAAUAAGCCCCGGCUAACUACGUGCCAGCAGCCGCGGUAAGACGUAGGGGGCGAGCGUUGUCCGGAUUUACUGGGCGUAAAGGGCGCGUAGGCGGCUCGUUAAGUGUGAAGUGAAAUCUCCAGGGCUCAACCCGGAAACUGCUUCGCAUACUGGCGAGCUUGAGGAAUGCAGAGGUAAG